rnacentral:rRNA from 1 species
AUGGCGUUGUCGAAGAGGCUCGCGGCGACGGCGCUGCUGGUGCUGCUCGCGUUGGCGGCGUCCGCGUCGGCCAAGACGACGCGGGAAGCCGCUGAGGCGGCCACGGCCAAGACGACGCCGGGCGGCGCGGAGACGGCGCCGGGCAAGGAGGAAGAGUCCUGGACGGGGUGGGCCAAGGACAAGAUCUCCGAGGGCCUCGGCCUGGACAAGAUCUCCGAGGGGCUCGGGCUCAAGCACCACGCCGACGAGGAGGAGGCCGCGCGCAAGGCCGGCCAGACCGUCAAGUCCGCCCGCGAGACCGUCCAGCACACCGCCUCCGAGACGGGGAGGCAGGCGAGCGGCAAGGCUUCGGACGCCAAGGAGGCGGCGGAGCAGGCGGCGACCGGGGCCGCCAACAAGGCGGGGCAGGCCAAGGACAAGGCGGCGGAGACGGUGAAGGGCACGGCCGGCGAGGCGUCCAAGAAGACGGAGCAGGCUAAGCACAAGACCAAGGAGGCCGCGGAGGCGGCCGCCAAGACCGGCGCCGAGACGCACGAGCGGUCGAAGCAGGGCAAGGCUAAGGUUGAGGAGGCGGCCAAGGAAAAGGCUGGACAGGGGUACGAGACGCUGAAGCAAACCAAGGACGCGGCCGCCGAGAAGGCCGGCGCCGCCAAGGACACGGCUGCGGAGAAGGCCGCAGCAGCCAAGGACGCCGCCGCGGAGAAAGCCGGCGGCGCCACGCAGACGGCCGCGGAGAAGGCUGCAGCAGCCAAGGACGCCGCCGCCGGCGCCACGCAGACGGCAGCGGCAGCCAAGGACGCCGCCGCCGGCGCCACGCAGACGGCAGCGGCAGCCAAGGACGCCGCCGCGGAGAAGGCCGGGGCCGCCAAGCAGACAGCCGCGGAGAAGGCAGCGGCAGCGAAGGACGCCGCCGCAGAGAAGGCCCGCGCCACGAAGGAUGCGGCCUGGGAGAAGACGGAGUCUGCCAAGGACGCCACAUGGCAGGCGCAGGAGAAGCUGAAGCAAUACAACGACGUCGCGUCGGAGAAGGCCGCGAACGUCAAGGACGCCGCUGCGGAGAAGGCCCCGGCCGCCAAGGACGCCGCGUGGAAGAACGCCGAGGCGGCCAAGGGAACGGUCGGGGAGAAGGCAGGGGCGGCCAAGGACGCCACGUUGGAGAAGACGGCGUCGGCCAAGGACGCCGCAUGGGAGACGGCGGAGGCGGCCAAGGACACGGCCUGGGAGACGGCGGAGGCGGCCAAGGAUAAGGCCAACCAGGGGUACGAGAAGGUGAAGGAGAAGGUUGGGGAGGUGAAGGACAAGGUCACCGGCGCGGCAGCCGACGGCAAGGCGAAGAAGCACCGCAAGGACGACGAGCUGUGA